rnacentral:rRNA from 1 species
CAGUCGCCGCGGGAAUACGUAGGGUGCGAGCGUUAAUCGGAAUUACUGGGCGUAAAGCGUGCGCAGGCGGUUGUGUAAGACAGGUGUGAAAUCCCCGGGCUUAACCUGGGAACUGCGCUUGUGACUGCACAGCUAGAGUAUGGCAGAGGGGGGUGGAAUUCCACGUGUAGCAGUGAAAUGCGUAGAGAUGUGGAGGAAUACCGAUGGCGAAGGCAGCCCCCUGGGCCAAUACUGACGCUCAUGCACGAAAGCGUGGGGAGCAAACAGGAUUAGAUACCCCCGUAGUCCCUGUCUCUUAUAC